GGCAGUGAUGCUGUGUGCGCGUGCGUGUGUGUGUGUGUGUGUGUGUGUGUGUGUGUCUGGAGUCAUGGCAGGGUCCCUUUCUGUCUGUCUCCUUGCUCUGCCCCAGACCGGGGGGCUGCAGAGGUGAGGGUAUCUGGCCUCAACAGCUGCUUAUUCCCGAAGGGAUGGCCUGGGCUGGGCCCCUGAGGCCAGGCUGACUUGGACAUGGCAAGAGGGGUCCCAGGCUCUUGUGGGCAAAGCAGAGGAGGCGCCGAUGUGGAGGAACAGAGUCUCCUGGCUGGCUGCUGCUCUCUGGAGUGGGUGGAGUCAGGGAAGAGCUGAGCUGGGGAGUCACCCUGGGCCUGGGGUCACCGUAGGCCCCAUGUAGCACCCUGGUUCCCCUGCCUGUAGGUGACAGGAGCCAGCCCAGCCAGGUGUGCUCCCUCCCCAGGCCCUAGGCAGGCGGGUACAGGGGCCAGCAGCUGCGCCCGCCCCACCCUCCUUCCCACCCACAUGCCGAAGGGUGGCCAGGCAGGCAGGUGGACGAGUCCAGGCAGCGGCUGAGUCAGUGUGUGUGGAAUGUUCUGGCCGCUCCCAGCUGCACCCUGCCCCUACCUGCCACCACCUCACCUUCAUCCUCAGGCGCUGCGGCCCUGAGCCCCUGCCAGGAAUGCACCUUUAGCCCAGGCCUGCUCAGUGAGCUCCGCCGACAGCCAGCCCUGCUCCUCCCGCCAUGACCCUGCAGACCCCUCUGGGCUUCCAAGUUCCUGGGGGCUGCAGUGAACAUGCUCCACCUGUAUGGCUGGCAAACCACGGUGGGCCCCAGCUGUGGUGCGUCCUGGGGUAGAGGCAAGGAAGUGAUGGGACCGCAGAGAUGAGACCCCCAGGGAUGAGAUGGGACCCCCAGGCAGGGCCCAGGGUCCAGGGCCCAGGAGAGAGAAGCAGGGAGGGACAGGGCUGCCUGGUGGAGGAGGCAUGCUACAGUGGGGGCAAGGGUGCUCUGAGGUCCGGUGAAGGCAGGGACUAGGCUGCCCAGGCCCUGCCUGCUUGGCUGGGGCUGGGGGCUGCUGGGAGGUGGCUGGGAGGCUGGGCCUGGGCAGCUAAGCUGGAGCUUUGGCCAGGGUCCAGAGCCUCCCUCCCUUCAGCUUCCUGCUGCACAGAACCCUCGCCCCUGGCCACCCCGUGCUGCCUCCUUGCCCAGGCAGACCCAGCGCUGGCUGCUGCCAGGCAGAUGGAGUAGCGGGCAGGGGCCGGAGGGGCCACCCUCCCAGCUGACCCAGCCUCCUGGGCCGCUUCUUCCAAACCAGCAGCGUAGAAAGAUGGGGCACCCACCAGACUCUCCCAGUGCCCCGGCCCCAGCUGGCACCACAGCUAUACCUGGGCUUAUUCCAGACCUUGUCGCCGGGACCCCCUGUGAGUUGUGGGAUUCCCAAGAGGGGUGUGGGGAUAACCCAGCCAAGUGGGGGCUGCAGCUGUCCACAGAUGCGCUCAGCCUGGCCUCUACCCCAGGGCCCCGCUGGGCUCUCAUUGCCGGCGCCCUUGCCGCGGGCAUCCUCCUCGUCUCCUGCCUCCUCUGUGCUGCCUGCUGCUGCUGCCGCCACCACAGGAAGAAGCCCAGGGACAAGGAGGCCGUGGGUCUGGGCAGUGCCCGUGGCACCACCACCACCCACCUGGUGAGGAGCGGCUCCUUGCUCACUCAGUCCAGAGAGGGCUCGAAAUCCAGGCUCCAGAGCCCAGGACAGCGAGGCGAGUUCAGCCCCAGGGAUGGUUUAACCCCCACAGAGGCGGGUCAGUGAGGACCUUCCUGGCAGGGAAAGUGGGUGAACAGAGGUGAGAAGGAGGCCAUGCAACAGGGGCUGCCCCAUGGGCCCGAGGGAGCCACAGCGGGUUCUUGAGGAAGGCAGGGGGUACCCCAGAUGCCACGUUUGGGGUGGGUUUGGCCGGUCUCACAGAGCGAAGCCGACGAUUUGUGCCUGUCGGGUGGCCUGGCCUGGAGGCGCGGGGUCUUGACCCGUGUCAUGCAAGUGCUGCCCGGGAGCCCAGGGCUCUGAUGGGGCAUGAUGUCAGCACCACCUGCCCCUUGUCCCAACUCACUCCAGGUGCAACCUGAUGUGGAUGGCCUGGAGUCCAGCCCGGGGGGUGCUCAGCAAUGGGGGCGCCUGCAGCUCUCCCUGGAGUACGACUUUGGAAGCCAGGAGGUGAAGAGCCCUGCUGUGCAGGACCAGCGGUUCUGCGAGUUUCCGGAAAGGGUGACGGGGGAAGGGCAGACCCCGUGCCCUGGGUGGUGGGGAGCUGACAGGGCAGGGGCCCUUGGCUGAGCCCACCCCCCUGGCUCCCAGAUCAGGGUGGGCCUGAGGCAGGCAGCCGACCUGAGGCCUGGGGGCACCGUGGACCCCUAUGCCCGGGUCAGCGUCUCCACCCGGGCCGGACACAGACAUGAGACAAAAGUGCACCGAGGCACGCUCUGCCCCGUGUUUGACGAGACCUGCUGCUUCCACGUGAGUCAGGGAUGGUCGGCUGGGUGGGCCUGGACGGCUGGAUGGGCCUGGGCUGGGUGGGCCUGGGCAGCUGGGUGGGCCUGAGCUAGGGCAGCAGGGCCUGGCUCACGCCGCUGCCUCAGAUCCCGCAGGCGGAACUGCCAGGGGCCACCCUGCAGGUGCAGCUUUUCAACUUCAAGCGCUUCUCGGGGCAUGAGCCCCUGGGUGAGCUCCGCCUGCCACUGGGCACCGUGGAUCUGCAGCAUGUUCUGGAGCACUGGUACCCGCUGGGCCCGCCGGCUGCCACUGAGGUGAGGUGCUGGUCACCAGGCCACAGCCCAAGGCAGAGCUGGCAGGGGCCCUGCCCUAUGGGCCAUUGGAAAGACAGGCCUGAUGGGCAGCAGCUGCGGGGGCCUGAACCCCAACUCGGCCAGAAUCGCCCUCCCGGGCUGAAGCCCCUCUUGCUGCCCACAGCCCGAGCAGGUCGGGGAGCUGUGCUUCUCUCUCCGGUACGUGCCCAGCUCAGGCCGGCUGACCGUGGUGGUGCUGGAGGCUCGAGGCCUGCGUCCAGGACUGGCAGAGCCCUACGUGAAGGUCCAGCUCAUGCUGAACCAGAGGAAGUGGAAGAAGAGAAAGACAGCCACCAAAAAGGGCACGGCGGCCCCCUACUUCAAUGAGGCCUUCACCUUCCUGGUGCCCUUCAGCCAGGUCCAGAAUGUGGACCUGGUGCUGGCCGUCUGGGACCGCAGCCUGCCGCUCCAAACUGAGCCCGUAGGCAAGGUGCACCUGGGUGCCCGGGCCUCGGGGCAGCCCCUGCAGCACUGGGCAGACAUGCUGGCCCACGCCCGGCGGCCCGUCGCCCAGUGGCACCCCCUGCGGCCAGCCAGGGAGGUGGACCGCAUGCUGGCCCUGCAGCCCCGCCUUCGCCUGCGCCUGCCCUUGCCCCACUCCUGAAUGCACCACGUGCCUCUCUUUCCCCGCUGAGCCCAGGCACUUGCCCAGGCCGCCCUGCAGGACCACUGCAAUAAACGCCUUCUCCUGCCA
rnacentral:sRNA from 1 species